GGCUUUAGUCAAGUCCACCCUUGUCGAGUCCAAGACAAGUCCAAGACCAGGACUAGUUGAGACCGAGUCAAGACCUAGUCCAAAGAGGUUUAAGUCCAAGUCAAGGCCGAGUCCAAAUGAGAGAACAAAGAAUCCUGUUC